rnacentral:misc_RNA from 1 species
CAGCAGGGGUGCAACUUGAAAGUAGGAAAGAGUAACGGAAAAUAGUACAGCCGUCGCUGGCACUGGACGUCAAGAUCAAACCACCUUUAUUGGCUUAAGAUGCUUCCAUAAGUUGCUCCUUUGUAUUUCCAAUUAAUUUACAUACAUUUUUGAUACCUUUUCACUAACCGGGAUAAAAUUACAAACAGGCUGGGACAAGUCGUACAAAAACCUUUGUCAAAUUUUUUUUAAUUUAAAUUUUAAAAAUGUAUUAAUUUUUACAAAUAUAUUUUCGAACAAAAUUUAAACGUCAUUAUACGAAUGGUUAUUAAUUUUCGAAUUAGGAAGGUUCGAGUUCGAAACCGUUUUAAUUUAUUAAAACGAGUGUAAAGAAAUUGAAGAGUCUUUUGGUUUCAAAAUGUACAAGUUUUCUGAAUGGAAUGAUACUGGAAGGAACGAUGACUCUAGCAUUGUUAAUCCUAAGAUGCAACCAUAUAAUAUUUUGUUUUUAUUUGUUAGCAUUGCUCUUGGAGCUCUAGUGCGAUUU